GUGGUUGUCUGGGAGCGAAUCUGCAAGAAUUUCAGCAAUACAAUUUGGCUUCAUAAAUCAUGGAGAAUAUAUUUGUAAAACAACUUUUCAAGUCCAAAGUCACUUCAAAGACAGUGGGGACUACAUCAAACUUUUAUGGCCACUUAGAAAGGAAGCAGAAGGAAAGGCGACUGUAGAGAAGGUCAGUUCAGUGAGUAGAUCAUCCGGGGCUGGGCUUCAGUCCAAGAGGAGGGUUCCAACAGGCAUGAUUUAUUCAUCUAGAAGGGCAACUUUAAAUGGCAACAUUGCUCUGAGAAAUCAGCAGCAGCACUGCCACGUCGGAUUGAUGCACCUUCACUCAAACGCAGCAAUGUGAGAAACUGACCAGGUUAUGGUGAACUCUGGUACAGCUAAUCUGCAUCUCAAAGACAAGGAACACUCUUUUGAAGACAGCGUUUUGGACAUGCAGUUUAAGGAAGAGGCCUGACUGGACGGACAUGUUGCUGGAGAGAAGAAUGGAUGAGCAUUUCUGCUUGUGAAAAGGCAAAUGUUUAAAUUAUAAACUGAAAAAUAGCUUUUUCUUACACCCUCUCUGGCACAUCUGACAGGUUCACUUCAGGUCAUCAGGCUUUUUUUUUUUCCUUUCUUCACCUUCGACAAGAAUGCUCAUCAGUAAAGCUGUAACUGUAUUACACAACAGUCGACAGAUGGUCGUCUGAGACGGAUCCCAAACAUUAUUAUUGUAACCAUUUACUUUGGCUGAGCUCCAGACUGGCUGGCCAGUGUUCAUUAUUUCAGAGUUGGGUCACUCAAAUAAUGAACACUUCAGACAUGAGUUUUAUUUGGAAGGUUGUUGCUGGGUUUCUGAUAUUUGUUUGCCGUGGUUGAAUUGUUUUGUCCUGCUUUUCCCUCCCAUUAGGUUCCCCACAGUUGUCCUUGUUUCCUGCUUCUCACACCUCCGUUGUCAGAUCCCGGUUUUGACGUACAGUAAUGUGUCCGACCUGUUGCCUGUUGUUUUUCUGUUGCAGUCGUUUUCACCAUCUUGUUUCCAGCCAAUGUUCGAAUCGCCUGAGAUUCUGUCUGAGUUCUGGGUCCGCGACAAACGCAAUUCAUGACAACUGUGUGAUAAAACGUACCAUGGUUCAAAUGUCUGGGUUUGAGGCAAAUAAUACAAAUAAUAUUCCAUUCUAAACCACGGAUGGUUUUAGCACGUAGCUGCAAAUUGUAAAAGUUGGUGGAAUGAUUUCCCUCCAGAAUGAUUGA